CCAAUCUUUAAUAUAGACGUAAAAACUCAUGAUCCAGCACAUAGAUAAGGGAUUUGAUAAUAGAAACUGAUAACCAGAGAGUAUGCUGCCUCUGAACUGCUUGAGUUGGGGAAAGACUUUUAGAAAAGAAAUGUUCCCAUAGCCUGGCUCAUGAGGCUGUAUGUGUGAUAGCUCAUGCUCACAAGAGUCAGCAGUCAUCCUUCAGAGUUCCUGCCCAUCCUUCUGUUCAAAGCUUCAUAUAAGAUCAUCCUAAGUUCUGUGGAUACAGAGAAAUUCAGUAAUAUAAACAACACAGGUUCCUCCUAGAGACAAAGCCUCCAUCAUCUGAGGUACUAUGAAAUGAAUCAGCCUUGGAUGAACUGGCUUGUAUAAGCACUAGGGACACUUGGUAGUACUAUUUGUGGUCCUCAUGAAUAUCAGAUACCAGAAGACAACAGAGGAAAGAUAGGCAUUUUUGUGGAGCUUGGUCAUGAGAGAGACCAUAUUUGAUAUUCAGUGCACUGGAAUGGGUAGGUCUGUUUUCAGAGAAUGGCUGAGAGAAGUGAAUUUAGGAGGGAUCCAAGACUGGAAGACUUUGUGGCUUUGCUGGGUUCUAUGGUAGGGUCUAAUUCGCAUGCACUAGGAGAGGAGUAGUGGCUCUGAAUGAUUUACUCUGGCAUAUAACGAGGGUUGUUAGGCUGCUGAAGCACUCAGGAAAGAAUAAAACACUGAGAAGCAAGUGCUGAUUCAGUAGGCUGGUAGAAAACUAUGUAGCUGAGACUGACCUUCAGUUUCUAAUUCUCCUGCUGUAAUUAUAGACAUGCCCCACCACUUCCAAUUUGAUACUGGGCAAUCCCUAGUAUCAAAGUAUCCAGGGCUUCAUUCAUUCUAGGCAAACACUCCAACUGAGCUAUAUCUUUAUGUUGGACCGUGAAAGGCAGUAUGUGUUCUUGUUGAGUGAGGCUUACUCUGGAGACUCAGUAGAAAAUUCUACAAGGGACGAACACUAAGCUAUGUUCCCAAAUACAAAUGCAAGACACCACCAGGAGCCCUCAACUCCACCAUUCUGUGUCCAUCAGUCACCUAGGCAAUGCCCCAGGCUCCUCUGAUAUUCUGGCUAGACUUCACCCCCAGUUACCUGGUUACUGGCAGGUAUGACCCGCCCCACGUUACUUGGCAACAGUAAGGUAGCCCAGCCCACUAUAAAAAGAGCUGGUUGCCCCUCUCCCCAAGCUCUUGCCUCUCUUACUCUCACCUCUCGUUCUCCUUCUCCCUCUACUUUUUUACUCUUCUCUCUCUGCUUUUCUACAAUUAAGCUCUAAAACCAUGGACCGCCUCUGCUCACCAAGACCACCUGUGCAAUUAAGCUCUAAAACCAUGGACCGUCUCUGCUCACCAAGACCACCUGUGCUAGAGCAAUGGAAUAGGCCUUCCCCUAAAGAGCUGUGUCUAAUAUCUCGAAGGAAGGCCUCCCAUCGUUUCCAGCUGCCAGACUGGACCAAGGACUCUCGCCAAUGCAGGAACCACCCCAGUGCCUUCUCCCCCCCCACCCCCACCCCUUCUCCCUUUGGCCUCGGGACUGACCAAGCUGCCCCCAGGUCCCCACAUGUUAUCAGCUCUACUUCGGUGUUCAGUGACGUCCUGUGAUGCCCAAGAGCUAGAACCUGUUGUCCCUGGACUCCGUGAGGCCCAGGGACCGGAACUGCUCCCUCUGCACCCACUUGAACUGGGGUUCCGUGGCUUCUCAGAGCCAGACGCCCAUCUGGCAGAGUGGAGAGCACGUGGCAGUGUCCCAAGUCUGCCUGCCCAGUGUCUCCGAGCUCCGGCAGGACGCAGGUCCCUCCCACCCCUUUAUUUCCCCACGUCUGGUGCCUAACAUCUUUAGCACUUUGAUGGUCUGUUAUAAGUAAAUAUCACAAAAUUUGUGUCAAGGCAUAGUUCUCAUGGGGGAUAAUGAUAAAAAGACAAAUUUAGUGCUUGUGAGAUUUGGGAAUGCUUUAACUCUGGACAGUUCACUGAUGGCAUAAAUGACAGCACAGUGCAGGUGAAAAGGAUUAAGUUGUCCUAAUAACAGCAAAGUACUCUUUCCACAUGGACUAUACCGUGUGUGUUUCUUGCAAGGAGGAAGACUGAUUAUGAAGAGUGCUCACCGAGUCUCUUUUAGAAGCCAGUGGCUGCAGCACCAGCAUGAAGACUGUCAGACUCAGAGGAUGGUGGGAAAAGCAAGCAGGAGCUUAGGUUGUAGAACUUGGUGGCAAAUGCCUUUACCUGCCAAGCUAUCUUGCAGAAUCUGGGAUCAGAAUUUUCAUAAGCAAUUCAUAUGUUCUCAGCAGUUCUACAGUGAUGACUUCAUGUUUUCCUUAGGCUGUCUUGUUCUUAGACUUACACCAUUGCUAAAACUAUGCCUCAGCUUUGUAGUGGUCACCACAAGACACCCGGAAGAACUUGAGUGGAUUCAGGCUCAUCUUUCUGAUGAUGUCUCCUUCAGCAUUGAGGACUUCUCAAGUCAGGUUAUAAGGUGUAUUCUGGUUGAUCUGUUCCAGUUGGAAGAGAAUCUUCAUGAAGAAAUGGUGUUCUCAGGUGGCUUCUCCUCCCUGGAUCUGUUAUUAUUGUCUAGCUUGUAAUUUUUUGGUGGUUAGGGACCAUGGAUCCACCCAGACGGGUGAGUCCCCCUUCCAGGUGAUGGGAUCAGCACAACGACCUGGGGGUGCAGCUGAAUCAACAGCCCGCAUCAAAAAACACCCCCAGCCUCUUCUUCCAGUGUUGCCAUGGGCCUCAAUGGGAUGGAAAGUCCCAUCUUCAUUUUUUCCUAAACCUUUCCCUGGGGAAAACCCAGAGUUUAUCAUCUGAGCCAUGAUUACUUCAUUGGGGUUGCACAUUAAUCAAUCCCAGCUGGGAUAACAGAUCUCGGCCCCAGAGAUUAAUGGGAAGGCCCGGGAUGACAUAUGGCUGUAUAUUUCCUGUAUUUCCCUCUUUAUCUUUCCACUUCAGCACCUUAGAGCUUUGUUGUGGAUUUUGACUUUGGCCAAUACCCGUUAGAUUUGUCAAGGCUGGGGUGAGAGGCCAGGUGGCAGACCAAUCACUGUGUUUUAUAAUAGUCACAUCAGCCCCUGUAUCAACCAAGCCUCGGAAUGCCUUUCCAUCAAGCUGGAUUGUCAUCAUAGGUUUUUGUUUAACCAGUAUGCAUCAGAGGAACUAAAGCCUUGAUCCCCUCUCUUAGGACUCUUAUAUUUGUGAUUAGUAGGAAGCAAUGGAAGUAACAACAGCUGAGCUAUCCUCCUUCCUGUGGGGAUGGUGACUAUAUUAUAUAUUGCCUUGGCCAUUACCUUAAUCUCUCCUUGAUAAUCAUUGUCUCUAACACUAGGAACAAUUGCAGUCCCUGCAUGGCAGCAGUGCUUCUUCCCACUAUCAGGCCAGACACAUUUGGAUAGAGGUCCGAACACUCUGGCGGGUAGAGCCUGAGGUCCCACUUCUGGGGUUAGUACUGUAUAUGGGUGGCAGAAUCUAGUCCUGCCCUUCAAGGGAUUGCUUGACCAAGUUCUGAAAGGAAUUGUGGUUGCUUGCUGGCAUGAAGCUGACCACCCCAUAAGCCUGUUUUGGCUUGUAUUGGUUCGGGGUCUGGGGCUGGUCCCUGCUCCUAUUUCCCUGAUUAGGGAAAAGUAUGUUCCCUUGUAUAUCUGUCUUGGAUCUACACUUAUUAGCCCAAUGUUUUCUGCAUUUGCAAUGUUUCCCAGCCUAUUUCCCAGGCUGUCUCAGAGUUGACUCGUUUCCUGCCCUGCAAUCUUUUGCAAAAUGUCCAGGCUUCUCACACUUAAAAAGGGGCCUUUUUGUCUCUACUUGCCAAGAAGUCUCUUACUGACUGUCCUUGCAUGGCAGCCAGCAUAGCCAAGCCCUGUUGAUAGGAGGGCCCUAUGUCAGAGUCUGAUGUACCCAGUAAGGUCUGUCUUCUUCCUGUAGGGUCUAAUGGCUACAAGCUGUUUCACAUAGUCUAUACUUGCCUCUGCAUUACCAAAAAAUCCUCCCUGCUGUUGUCAUCAAUGAACAAAAUCAGAAAAUCGCUCAUCAGGCCCUUGACUGCUGUCAAAGAUGCACCAGGGUCUCCCUUUACCGGGAGUUUAUGCCAAGCCUUUUUUGAAUUUGAGCGAAUAAACCUGGGUCAUAUUGCAUCUGGCCAUCACUUGAAGCGAAUUGCCCUUCUCCCACUAAGGCAUCAAAGGACCAAGCAUUGCCUGCCUGAGCAUUCCUCCUAGCCAUCUCUUUACAAUUCUCAUGAUUCUCUGAUUUCCAGAUAAGAUGGUCACCACCGCUAAGAAAUGCUCUCACUAGGGUAUUCCAAUCCCCAGGAGUCAUCCACUCCUCUGUGGCAGAUUCCAGAAUUGCAAGAGUAAACGGAGCAGUGGCACCGUAUUGUGACACUGCGUUUUUAAAAUCUAUAAUGAUUUGGAAAUUGAACCCUGUGUGAUGUCUCCAAGCAACCCCUUGAGCGUCGGUGAUCUCUGAUACAGGGAAAGCCUCAGCCUCUCCCUCCUCUGGGCCAUCUGAAGCUGAACUAAAGCCAGAGGGCAGGGGCCGUCUUUGGACUCCGAGGGAAGGCCAAAACCAUAAAUUUACUCAACAGUUAGGUCAUGUGCUACAUUAAGCAACACACCUGGGGCGUUGUAUUGAGAAUACAUGGCCCGAAAUAAGUAAGAGCAUAAGAAUUAUUAAAGGCCCAGCUAGGGUAGAGAGAAGGGUGGUAAACCAUGGAGACUUAAUAAAUCAACUUUCAAACCAUCCCUGCCUCUCCUCUCUCUUUUUUACGUAUAUCUAAGCAUUCCCUGAGCUUGGCCAUAGAAUCCCUGAUCACUCCUGAAUGAUCAACAUAAAAACAACAUUCUUCUUUUAGGGCUGCACAGAGUCCUCCUUCUUUGAGGAAUAAUAAGUCUAGUCCCUUCCUAUUCUGCAGCACUACUUCUGACAGGGAAGUUAAAGAUUCUUCUAAUUUGGUUAUAGACUGUUCUAUAGCUCCUAGAUCAGUAUCCAUAGCUGUACGUAAUUCUUCAUAAUACUGGGGGGUCUGAAUCAAGGCAGCGGUACCUGUACCUACUCCGGCCGCUAUUCCUAGUCCUAAAAGUACUGCUAAGGUUAAGGUGAUGGGUUCUCUCUUCCAGCGGACCCGGUGAUCAAAUUCAUCUACAAAGGAGCUAUCAUCAUGGUAUAGGAGUCUAGGAACAAGUUGAACCAGAAUGCAGAAAUCUUUGGAACCAUUAAAAACAGAAGUAGACACACAAGGAGACCUGUGUUGCAAGCCCAUACUGUGUCUAUGGGGGGGGGGGACGACUAGAUACUGACCACCUUCGCUAGGCUGUACGUGCUGGGUCUGAUUACAGAGGUGCCGUCUGUCAUGAGGUACCCGGCCUAAACAAAGUCCACUUCCUGAGAUUGCUGCCAGAGUCAACUUUCUGUUUUCCCCCCAAGGGCAUUGAGAGGGGUCUGAAGUUUUAUUAUAAAUCCUCAUCUGAGCAAUUCCCUCAUAAUAAGGGGGGCUAGAGGCAUAGCACAGCCAGCAAGACCGAGUAAUGUUGGGAUCAGUACGAUUGAGGACCAGGAAUGCCCCUUGUAUUAGGCUAAAUAGGCGAUUCUUGGUAUCUGGGGGCAUGGGAGUGGUUGGAACCCGAUCCAAGGAAGGAGUGUGAGCCUUGGUCGGAUAGUCUGAUGGAGACCCAGGGAUGGUAGGCCUGGGAAGCAGUAACGAAGGCUUUUCAACUAGAACAGGGUUAGGUCCUACUGGUUGGGUCGGGGGCUACUGAGGCUCAAACGAACCAUGACUGAUGACCCAGGCUUUCCACUAUAGUCAUAAAAAACUAAUCCCCACCGCAUGCCCCUUAUCCAUGCCUUGAUGUCAUAUUUUUUUCCUGUGUCUGUAAAUUUGAUCAGUACUCUGUCUAAAUCAUCGGGGCGACAGUCAGCCCUUUUAUACAGUUCCAUUACGGUGUGCUUUCCAGGCCCUGAGUUCUGAAAAGAGAACUCAGCCCUGUCAGGAACAUGACCACUAGCCCAUUUCCAAUCACCAUCGUUGGAAGUAACACAAUUCCAUUGGCCACAAUAAUAGGAGGCUGACCCUCCGCAUAAGGACCACUUGCUGUGCUCUGGGCAGCAGUAGAAUCCAUAGCUUCUUACUAGAUUAGGGGGAGUGCUUCUAGCAGCUGGAAUUAUCUGUUUGAGGCAGAAGGCUAGGUCUGGCCACCAUGUCCCUGGCGGCGCUGUUUUGGAGGUGGUAAACAAGACCUGAUCCGAAUCAGGACCGAGAACUUGCCAAGUUAGAGUCAGAGGCUGGUGUGGGUUGUGGUUCUUUAGGCCCAGGGUGACUCCUGUGACCCAAGCGAAGCUUAAGAGGAUUGUCAGUGGCUGCCACCAUCCAGUUGUCUUCAUCUUGGCUGGGUGCCUUUUUGACGUGGGAGGCAUGGAUCCAAGCAGCGAUCCCGUCUACUUUUACUGCCGUGGGGGUGGUCAACAGCACCAGAUACGGUCCUUUCCACCGGGGCUCAAGCGUGCCAGUGCGAUGUCGUCUGACCAAGACUGAGUCUCCAACCUGGAACCCGUGAGGCACUGCUAUGGUUCCCGGAGUGUAGGCUUCUCUGAUCUGGUUGCAGAUCUGUGUUUUAACAACCUCUAGGGCCUUUAGGUGAGCAAAAAGAGCAGAGGGUGAGGAUGAGUCAGUGCCAAGAUCCAAUAUCCCACCUGACUCAGUUAAGGGAGGCGGUCCCCCAAAGAGAAUCUCAUAAGGGGUAAGACCGAAAUGUCCAGGAGUG
rnacentral:lncRNA from 1 species